rnacentral:rRNA from 1 species
CGAGGGGUAGAAGGAGCUUGCUCCUUUGAGACCGGCGCACGGGUGCGUAACGCGUAUGCAAUCUACCUUUCACAGAGGGAUAGCCCAGAGAAAUUUGGACUAAUACCUCAUAGUAUAGCAGUUUCGCAUGAAACCACUAUUAAAGUCACAACGGUGAAAGAUGAGCAUGCGUCCCAUUAGCUAGUUGGUAAGGUAACGGCUUACCAAGGCAACGAUGGGUAGGGGUCCUGAGAGGGAGAUCCCCCACACUGGUACUGAGACACGGACCAGACUCCUACGGGAGGCAGCAGUGAGGAAUAUUGGACAAUGGGCGCAAGCCUGAUCCAGCCAUGCCGCGUGCAGGAUGACGGUCCUAUGGAUUGUAAACUGCUUUUGUACAGGAAGAAACACCUCUACGUGUAGAGACUUGACGGUACUGUAAGAAUAAGGAUCGGCUAACUCCGUGCCAGCAGCCGCGGUAAUACGGAGGAUCCAAGCGUUAUCCGGAAUCAUUGGGUUUAAAGGGUCCGUAGGCGGUUUAGUAAGUCAGUGGUGAAAGCCCAUCGCUCAACGGUGGAACGGCCAUUGAUACUGCUAGACUUGAAUUAUUAGGAAGUAACUAGAAUAUGUAGUGUAGCGGUGAAAUGCUUAGAGAUUACAUGGAAUACCAAUUGCGAAGGCAGGUUACUACUAAUUGAUUGACGCUGAUGGACGAAAGCGUGGGUAGCGAACAGGAUUAGAUACCCUGGUAGUCCACGCCGUAAACGAUGGAUACUAGCUGUUGGGCGCAAGUUCAGUGGCUAAGCGAAAGUGAUAAGUAUCCCACCUGGGGAGUACGUUCGCAAGAAUGAAACU